UCGUAACAAGGUCUCCGUUGGUGAACCAGCGGAGGGAUCAUUACUGAGUUACCGCUCUAUAACCCUUUGUGAACAUACCUACAACUGUUGCUUCGGCGGGUAGGCCGUCCCCUGAAAAGGACGCCUCCCGGCCGGGACCGGACCCCCCGUGGGGCCGGACCCGGCGCCCGCCGGAGGAUAACCAAACGCUAUUUUAACGACGUUUCUUCUGAGUGGCAUAAGCAAAAUAAUCAAAACUUUUAACAACGGAUCUCUUGGUUCUGGCAUCGAUGAAGAACGCAGCGAAAUGCGAUAAGUAAUGUGAAUUGCAGAAUUCAGUGAAUCAUCGAAUCUUUGAACGCACAUUGCGCCCGCCAGCAUUCUGGCGGGCAUGCCUGUUCGAGCGUCAUUUCAACCCUCAAGCUCUGCUUGGUGUUGGGGCUCUACGGUCAACGUAGGCCCUCAAAGGUAGUGGCGGACCCUCCCGGAGCCUCCUUUGCGUAGUAACAUUUCGUCUCGCACUGGGAUCCGGAGGGACUCUUGCCGUAAAACCCCCCAAUUUUUCAAGGUUGACCUCGGAUCAGGUAGGAAUACCCGCUGAACUUAAGCAUAUCAA
rnacentral:rRNA from 1 species